rnacentral:rRNA from 1 species
UGACAUGAGUAGCGAUAAUGGGGGUGAAAAGCCUCCACGCCGUAAGCCCAAGGUUUCCUGUUCAACGUUCAUCGGAGCAGGGUGAGUCGGCCCCUAAGGCGAGGCAGAGAUGCGUAGCUGAUGGGAAGCAGGUUAAUAUUCCUGCACCGUCGUUAGAUGCGAUGGGGGGACGGAUCGCGGAAGGUUGUCCGGGUGUUGGAAAUCCCGGUUGGUGUAUUCGAGAAGGCUGUUAGGCAAAUCCGGCGGCGUAAUUCAAGAGUAUGGCACGAGCGAACUUGUUCGCGAAGCAAUCGGAAGUGGUUCCAAGAAAAGCCUCUAAGCUUCAGUCUAACGAGACCGUACCGCAAACCGACACAGGUGGGCGAGAUGAGUAUUCUAAGGCGCUUGAGAGAACUCGGGAGAAGGAACUCGGCAAAUUUGUACCGUAACUUCGGGAUAAGGUACGCCCCGGUAGCUUGUUAAAGGGCGAAAGGGCUGCAAUAAAAAGGUGGCUGCGACUGUUUAAUAAAAACACAGCACUAUGCAAACACGAAAGUGGACGUAUAAGGUGUGACUCCUGCCCGGUGCUGGAAGAUUAAAUGAUGGGGUGCAAGCUCUUGAUUGAAGUCCCGGUAAACGGCGGCCGUAACAAUAACGGUCCUAAGGUAGCGAAAUUCCUUGUCGGGUAAGUUCCGACCUGCACGAAUGGAGUAACGAUGGCCACACUGUCUCCUCCCGAGACUCAGCGAAGUUGAAAUGUUUGUGAUGAUGCAAUCUACCCGCGGCUAGACGGAAAGACCCCAUGAACCUUUACUGUAGCUUUGCAUUGAAUUUUGAACCAAUCUGUGUAGGAUAGGUGGGAGGCUUUGAAGCGUGAACGCUAGUUUGCGUGGAGCCAACCUUGAAAUACCACCCUGGUUUGUUUGAGAUUCUAACCUUGGACCGUUAUCCGGUUCGGGAACAGUGCAUGGUAGGCAGUUUGACUGGGGCGGUCUCCUCCUAAAGUGUAACGGAGGAGUUCGAAGGUACGCUAGGUGCGGUCGGACAUCGUGCUAAUAGUGCAAUGGCAUAAGCGUGCUUAACUGCGAGACUGACAAGUCGAGCAGGUACGGAAGUAGGACAUAGUGAUCCGGUGGUUCUGUAUGGAAGGGCCAUCGCUCAACGGAUAAAAGGUACUCUGGGGAUAACAGGCUGAUUCCUCCCAAGAGUUCAUAUCGACGGGGGAGUUUGGCACCUCGAUGUCGGCUCAUCACAUCCUGGGGCUGUAGCCGGUCCCAAGGGUAUGGCUGUUCGCCAUUUAAAGUGGUACGUGAGCUGGGUUUAAAACGUCGUGAGACAGUUUGGUCCCUAUCUGCCGUGGGCGUUGGAAAUUUGAAGGGGGCUGCUCCUAGUACGAGAGGACCGGAGUGGACGAACCUCUGGUGUACCGGUUGUCAUGCCAAUGGCAUUGCCGGGUAGCUAAGUUCGGAAGAGAUAACCGCUGAAAGCAUCUAAGCGGGAAACUUGCCUUGAGAUGAGAUUUCCCCGGGAGUUUAACUCCCCUAAAGGGUCGUUCGAGACCAGGACGUUGAUAGGUCAGGUGUGGAAGCCG